rnacentral:rRNA from 1 species
UACGUAGGGUGCAAGCGUUACUCGGAAUUACUGGGCGUAAAGCGUGCGCAGGCGGUUCCGCAAGUCAGAUGUGAAAUCCCCGGGCUUAACCUGGGAACUGCAUUUGAAACUAUGGAGCUAGAGUGUGUCAGAGGGGGGUAGAAUUCCACGUGUAGCAGUGAAAUGCGUAGAGAUGUGGAGGAAUACCGAUGGCGAAGGCAGCCCCCUGGGAUAACACUGACGCUCAUGCACGAAAGCGUGGGGAGCAAACAGG